CAGCCGCCGCGGGAAUACGGAGGGGGCUAGCGUUGUUCGGAAUUACUGGGCGUAAAGCGCACGUAGGCGGCUUGGUAAGUUAGAGGUGAAAGCCCGGAGCUCAACUCCGGAAUUGCCUUUAAGACUGCCGAGCUAGUAGGUGAGAGAGGUAAGUGGAAUUCCGAGUGUAGAGGUGAAAUUCGUAGAUAUUCGGAAGAACACCAGUGGCGAAGGCGGCUUACUGGCUCAUUCUAGACGCUGAGGUGCGAAAGCGUGGGGAGCAAACAGGAUUAGAUACCCCCGUAGUCCCUGUCUCUUAUAA
rnacentral:rRNA from 1 species